rnacentral:rRNA from 1 species
AGUGAACGCUGGCGGUAGGCCUAACACAUGCAAGUCGAACGGCAGCACAGUAAGAGCUUGCUCUUACGGGUGGCGAGUGGCGGACGGGUGAGGAAUACAUCGGAAUCUACUUUUUCGUGGGGGAUAACGUAGGGAAACUUACGCUAAUACCGCAUACGACCUACGGGUGAAAGCAGGGGAUCUUCGGACCUUGCGCGAUUGAAAGAGCCGAUGUCGGAUUAGCUAGUUGGCGGGGUAAAGGCCCACCAAGGCGACGAUCCGUAGCUGGUCUGAGAGGGUGAUCAGCCACACUGGAACUGAGACACGGUCCAGACUCCUACGGGAGGCAGCAGUGGGGAAUAUUGGACAAUGGGCGCAAGCCUGAUCCAGCCAUACCGCGUGGGUGAAGAAGGCCUUCGGGUUGUAAAGCCCUUUUGUUGGGAAAGAAAAGCAGCAGGUUAAUACCCCGCUGUUCUGACGGUACCCAAAGAAUAAGCACCGGCUAACUCCGUG